CCAAGAGUGCCAGUAAUUUUUAGAUUUUUUUUUUAUAUUAAAAAAAACAACAACAACUCUGUAUUGCAGAGUAGCUGUUGACAUAGUUGUGCAGGAACUUUGUUGACUUUAGAGAACCUCGGGCAAAUCGCACAUCCCAGUGGCGGCGACUUUGCAUGUGGAUGUGAUCCAUAUCAACUUUCGAUGCCAGUUUCUGCGCCUACCAUGGUGACCAUGGGUAAUGGGGAAUCUGGAUUCCAUUCCGUACAGGGACCCUGAGAAACAGCUACCACAUGCAAGGAAGGCAGCAGGCGCGCAAAUGACCCACUCCCGAUGCGGCAAGAUAGUGACG